rfam:Candidatus Entotheonella sp. TSY1 genomic scaffold TSY1_scaffold00415, whole genome shotgun sequence.
GGGCGAUUAGCUCAGCGGGAGAGCACUGCCUUCACACGGCAGGGGUCACUGGUUCAAACCCAGUAUCGCCCA